rnacentral:rRNA from 1 species
AGAGUUUGAUCCUGGCUCAGAUUGAACGCUGGCGGCAGGCCUAACACAUGCAAGUCGAGCGGUAACACAGGGAGCUUGCUCCCGGGUGACGAGCGGCGGACGGGUGAGUAAUGUCUGGGAAACUGCCUGAUGGAGGGGGAUAACUACUGGAAACGGUAGCUAAUACCGCAUAACGUCGCAAGACCAAAGAGGGGGACCUCCGGGCCUCUUGCCAUCAGAUGUGCCCAGAUGGGAUUAGCUAGUAGGUGGGGUAACGGCUCACCUAGGCGACGAUCCCUAGCUGGUCUGAGAGGAUGACCAGCCACACUGGAACUGAGACACGGUCCAGACUCCUACGGGAGGCAGCAGUGGGGAAUAUUGCACAAUGGGCGCAAGCCUGAUGCAGCCAUGCCGCGUGUAUGAAGAAGGCCUUCGGGUUGUAAAGUACUUUCAGCGGGGAGGAAGGUGUUGAGGUUAAUAACCUCAGCAAUUGACGUUACCCGCAGAAGAAGCACCGGCUAACUCCGUGCCAGCAGCCGCGGUAAUACGGAGGGUGCAAGCGUUAAUCGGAAUUACUGGGCGUAAAGCGCACGCAGGCGGUCUGUCAAGUCGGAUGUGAAAUCCCCGGGCUCAACCUGGGAACUGCAUUCGAAACUGGCAGGCUAGAGUCCUGUAGAGGGGGGUAGAAUUC